GAUGAACGCUGGCGGCGUGCCUAAUACAUGCAAGUCGAGCGAACGGACGAGAAGCUUGCUUCUCUGAUGUUAGCGGCGGACGGGUGAGUAACACGUGGAUAACCUACCUAUAAGACUGGGAUAACUUCGGGAAACCGUAGCUAAUACCGGAUAAUAUUUUGAACCGCAUGGUUCAAAAGUGAAAGACGGUCUUGCUGUCACUUAUAGAUGGAUCCGCGCUGCAUUAGCUAGUUGGUAAGGUAACGGCUUACCAAGGCAACGAUGCAUAGCCGGCCUGAGAGGGUGAUCGGCCACACUGGAACCGAGACACGGUCCAGACUCCUACGGGAGGCAGCAGUAGGGAAUCUUCCGCAAUGGGCGAAAGCCUGACGGAGCAACGCCGCGUGAGUGAUGAAGGUCUUCGGAUCGUAAAACUCUGUUAUUAGGGAAGAACAUAUGUGUAAGUAACUGUGCACAUCUUGACGGUACCUAAUCAGAAAGCCACGGCUAACUACGUGC
rnacentral:rRNA from 1 species